GACGAACGCUGGCGGCGUGCUUAACACAUGCAAGUCGAACGGAGUGGCGAACGGGUGAGUAACACGGGGGUGACAUGCCCUGCACUACGGGAGAAGACUGGGAAACGGGGGCUAAUACCGGAUAGUGUGGGAUGGGCCCUCGGCCGAUCAGCUUGUUGGUGGGGUAAUGGCCUACCACGGCGGCGACGGGUAUCCGGCCUGAGAGGGUGGACGGCCACAUUGGGACUGAGACACGGCCCAGACUCCUACGGGAGGCAGCAGUGGGGAAUAUUGCACAAUGGGCGGAAGCCUGAUGCAGCGACGCCGCGUGGGGGAUGACGGCCUUCGGGUUGUAAACUCCUUUCACCAUCGACGCGGUAGAUGGAGAAGAAGCACCGGCUAACUACGUGCCAGCAGCCGCGGUAAUUC
rnacentral:rRNA from 1 species